AGAGUUUGAUCCUGGCUCAGAACGAACGCUGGCGGCAGGCUUAACACAUGCAAGUCGAACGCCCACGCAAGUGGGAGUGGCAGACGGGUGAGUAACACGUGGGAAUGUACCAACGGCUUCGGAAUAACUCCGGGAAACUGGAGCUAAUACCGGAUACGCCCGCAAGGGGAAAGGUUUACUGCUGUUGGAUCAGCCCGCGUCUGAUUAGCUUGUUGGUGCGGUAAAGGCGUACCAAGGCGACGAUCAGUAGCUGGUCUGAGAGGAUGAUCAGCCACACUGGGACUGAGACACGGCCCAGACUCCUACGGGAGGCAGCAGUGGGGAAUAUUGGACAAUGGGCGCAAGCCUGAUCCAGCCAUGCCGCGUGAGUGAUGAAGGCCUUAGGGUUGUAAAGCUCUUUUAUCGAGGACGAUAAUGACGGUACCUCAAGAAGAAG
rnacentral:rRNA from 1 species